GAUGAACGCUGGCGGCGUGCCUAAUACAUGCAAGUCGAGCGAACAGACGAGAGUGCUUGCACUCUCUGACGUUAGCGGCGGACGGGUGAGUAACACGUGGGUAACCUACCUAUAAGACUGGGAUAACUUCGGGAAACCGGAGCUAAUACCGGAUAAUAUUUAGCUUCGCAUGAAGCAAUAGUGAAAGACGGUUCUGCUGUCACUUAUAGAUGGACCCGCGGUGUAUUAGCUAGUUGGUGGGGUAACGGCUCACCAAGGCAACGAUACAUAGCCGACCUGAGAGGGUGAUCGGCCACACUGGGACUGAGACACGGCCCAGACUCCUACGGGAGGCAGCAGUAGGGAAUCUUCCGCAAUGGACGAAAGUCUGACGGAGCAAUGCCGCGUGAGUGAAGAAGGUUUUCGGAUCGUAAAACUCUGUUGUAAGGGAAGAACAAGUACGUUAGUAACUGAACGUACCUUGACGGUACCUUACCAGAAAGCCACGGCUAACUACGUG
rnacentral:rRNA from 1 species